rnacentral:rRNA from 1 species
CCUACGGGAGGCAGCAGUGAGGAAUAUUGGUCAAUGGGCGCGAGCCUGAACCAGCCAAGUAGCGUGAAGGAUGACUGCCCUACGGGGUGUAAACUUCUUUUAUAAAGGAAUAAAGUGAGGCACGUGCGCCUUUUUGUAUGUACUUUAUGAAUAAGGAGCGGCUAACUCCGUGCCAGCAGCCGCGGUAAUAAGGAGGAUCCGAGCGUUAUCCGGAUUUAUUGGGUUGAAAGGGAGCGUCGAUGGGUUGUUAAGUCAGUUGUGAAAGGUUGCGGCUCAACCGUAAAAUUGCAAUUGAUACGGGCAGUCUUGAGUACAGUUGAGGUAGGCGGAAUUCGUGGUGUAGCGGUGAAAUGCUUAGAUAUCACGCAGAACUCCGAUCGCGAAGGCAGCCUACCGGCGCGCAACUGACACUCAUGCACGAAAGCGUGGGUAUCGAACAGGAUUAGAUACCCCAGUAGUC